AAUGAUUUACAAGAGUAACAACAGAAUGAUAAUUUUAACCAAUUGACACAAAGUUGAUCAAGGUGAAUGUCUAAUGAAAGGGAGACAAAGAGAGAGAGAGAGAGAAAAGAGGAGAAAAAGAAAGAGUAUAAACUAAGUUGAAGUGAAUGUGAAAACAGUUAACAACUUGAACUCGUGAGUAAGAACUAAAAAUAUAAUCUGGAAAAGCAUGAUGAACGAUACAAACGAUUCACUUUUUCUUCUUUCUCCACAAGCAUUGAAUCAGAUGAAUCCGUAGUUACAAAACUGUAGACAUUCCCUGUACAUUUGCUCCAUCUCUUGUUGAACAAAAAAAGACAUUAAUUUCGUUCCAAACGAUAGAACUCAAUCAGUCACGCCACCUAUCGAUUGAUAUUCCAAGGGUUCUAAAAAGACCAAGGUUGAUGAUGAGGAGAUGAAGACGAUGAUUUUUUCCCUCUAAGAUGAGUCUUGUGGAUAGAGUAUCUUAAGACAUGGAGUAAGACAAUGAAGAAAGAGAAGCAAACCAAAUUAAUGGUCCUGUUUGUUUACGAGUUCAUUGAAAAUUGACUCCUGUCAACCAUAUGAGAGUUGGUAUAUUUACAUCUCACUGUGCAGUCAAGAAACAUGAAGGAAAAGAGGACACGCGUUCGCGUGUCUACCUCACCAAUGUCUUUCAACCUCUGGCUCGUGUCACAGGAAAGUUAACGAAUCACAUUGACUCAGCAAUCAAGUGAGGACUCCUAACAAUAACAAACAAGAGACCUGAAUGUCUUGAAGGAAGGAGAAAGUCUAAGAGUAUCAAUAAAAUACUUCCGUUUGGUAUCUUCUUUCCGCUUUCCGUUACUCUUUAUCACCAAAAAAAGCUGGAUGACCUCUUCAACUUUACCGUAGACAAGUGAGGCAAAGAGUAACGACCCUUCGAUGAAAUGGAUUGUACGAGCAAUGAUAAAUCCUUCCUUUCGACCAUAAGGUUACAAGUGUUUUCCUGUUGUUAUUGCAAACUGAUAUUUCGUCUUCACUCAUCUUUUCAAACAUUUCAACCUGACCCAGCCCGAUUCUAGAUUCAUUAGCAUCAUUGAAAUCAUUGCUUGUUUAUAAAUCUGUUUCCAUUAUAUGGAAAUAGUGGAAAAUUGUUUAUUUACAAAAGACCACAGACCUUUUUGACCUUCAUCAACAUGCGUUCCCAUCUGGGUUGAUUAACGUUAUAUAAAUAAUAUAAACGUUUUCUUCUCUCAUCCGAUUUAUUGGUAACCAUUUUUGAUAAAAAUUACUGCUUCAUUUUCAUCUCUUGCCAUCUUUCUAGCCACUGAUGUUAAUAAAGAUGAUGAUCAACAAAAGGAAUUACAAGCACCAAUAGAACAAAAAAUAACCAAAAAGCAAAGAAAAUAAUUUGCAGAUAACGGGGGUGAAACUAAAUUGACCGAACCAGGACCAGAUCUCUAAACAUUUAGCUCAUAAGCAACAUUCAUGCUUUGCAAACUUGCAGCUAAAAAAUCUUAUCUCAACCUGAACUUUUUUGAGUCUGGUAAAGCCUAAAAUCUAUCAUCUUUACCUAUCCUCGUGUCCAAUAAUUUAAAGAGGAAACAUCGUUUUACUCGUUAUUUACUUUCUUGGUAAAACAAAUUGACUGCGAAUCAAGAGCAAUUAACUGUUGAAACUGUUCAUUCUUCCUGGUGAUUUUAGCACAUUAGAUCUCUUUUUGACCAUUGAAGCAUUCAGAUUUUUGAUAUAACUCUAAACUCAUAAAACUUUGGUCCAACCAUGAA